rnacentral:rRNA from 1 species
AUGUUCAUUUCCUUGCUACUUGUGCUACUUGUUCCCCUAUACUUGUAUCUCAAGGCUAGCAGUAGAUCUAAGAACACAUCAGUGCUUCCCACAAACUGGCCAAUAUUGCAUAUGUUCCCUUCCUUCAUGGUCAAUGUCCACAACUUGCAUGACUAUCUCACCUUGGUCCUCAUCGGAUUAGGCCACAACUUCAGGGCGCACGGCCCACCCGGGACCGGGAUGCGGUUCUUCAUCACGUGCGACCCUGCUAAUGUCCGGCACAUCUUCACGACCAACUACACCAACUUCCCCAAGGGUGCUGAGUUCGUCACUAUUUUCGACAUCAAGGGUGGCACCCUCUUCACCGUCGAUGGUGAAGAUGCUGCCGCCCAGCGUGGGAAAUUGAAGAGCGUGCUCAGCAACCCGCGGAUGAUUGCUAGUACGGAGGCAUGUUGCCGCAACAAGGUGGAGAACAUCCUUCUCCCAUUGCUCGCCUACAUGGCGAGCACCGGCACUCCUUUUGACGUGCAAGAACUGAUGUCGAGGUUUAUGUUUGACCUGGCUACUAUGUCUCUCUUUGGUGUGGAUCCUGGCCUCCUAUCAUUAGACAAACCACCCAUGGACGCCGUGGUUGCUCUGAACACAGUCAUGGAGGUGGGAUUUUUCCGGCACGCCAUGCCAUCUUGUUGCUGGAAAUUAAUGAGGUGGCUAAACAUCGGUCCCGAAAGAAAGCUCUGCACAGCGCACAAAGUGCUACGAAGGUUCCUCGUGGAGAUGAUGGAGAGGAGGAAGAUGGAGAUGAUGGAGAGGAGGAAGAUGGAGAUGAUGGAGAGGAAGAUCAACACAUAUCAUUUUGGUAGUGACGACGAACAAGAUGGUGUGGAUAUUAUGUCUUCCUACCCAAACUACGUUGACGAUGACUUGUCCUAUGCCAAGAACAUUGGCUACAUGCUCGCUGCAAGGGACACAAUUGGAACAACCCUGACAUGGAUUUUUUACAACCUUGCCCAGAACCCAAACAUUGUGUCAAUCAUCCGGAGUGAAAUCUGGCCCAUUGCAUCAUGCAAAGUAGCAUCCGGUGUGGAUGCCAUGAUGAUCUUCGAGCCGAACGAAAUCAAAUCUCUAGUCUAUCUGAGAGCCGUCUUGUACGAGACUCUUAGGUUGUACCCGCCGGCACCUUUCGAGCGCAAGACGGUGGCCGCCGAUGAUAUUAUGCCGAGUGGCCAUGAGGUGCGCACCGGUGACACCAUCCUUAUUUCUCUCUACUCACUGGGAAGAAUGGAGGGCGUGUGGGGUAAUGACUGUCUCGACUAUAACCCAGAUAGGUGGCUCUCGGAAGAUGGCAACAAUCUGAGGUACGUACCAUCUCACAAGUUCUUGGCCUUCAACUCGGGCCCUAGGAUAUGCCUUGGGAAGGAAAUUGCGGUUAUGCAGAUGAAGACCGUCAUCGCCUCAGUGUUGUGGAACUUUGAUGUGGAGGUGAUGGAAGGGCAAAGCAUCCAGCCCAAGCCAUCUUGUAUACUGGAGAUGAAAAAUGGGUUCAUAGUUAAGCUAAAGAAGCGAGAGAUGUAA